GACGAACGCUGGCGGCGUGCUUAACACAUGCAAGUCGAACGGAAAGGCCCUGCUUUUGUGGGGUGCUCGAGUGGCGAACGGGUGAGUAACACGUGAGUAACCUGCCCUUGACUUUGGGAUAACUUCAGGAAACUGGGGCUAAUACCGGAUAGGAGCUCCUGCUGCAUGGUGGGGGUUGGAAAGUUUCGGCGGUUGGGGAUGGACUCGCGGCUUAUCAGCUUGUUGGUGGGGUAGUGGCUUACCAAGGCCUUGACGGGUAGCCGGCCUGAGAGGGUGACCGGCCACAGUGGGACUGAGAUACGGCCCAGACUCCUACGGGAGGCAGCAGUGGGGAAUAUUGCACAAUGGGCGGAAGCCUGAUGCAGCAACGCCGCGUGCGGGAUGACGGCCUUCGGGUUGUAAACCGCUUUCGCCUGUGCCGAAGCGUGAGUGACGGUAAUGGGUAAAGAAGCACCGGCUAACUACGUG
rnacentral:rRNA from 1 species